ACGGCACUCUGGAGACGCCCGCCACAGUGGCGGGGGCCGAAGGGGCAAAGCGCACGUGCGCGAAUCUCUCAGGCAAAAGGACAGAGCGG
rnacentral:ncRNA from 1 species